UUCUAUUUCAUAAAAUUCGGGUCUUACAUCUACCAUUCGUUUGCUACUUAAAUUGUGACUUAUUUUUUGACUUAUAAGUCAAAAAUAAUAAGUAACAAUUUCUAACUUAUUGAAAAAUAAUUUAUAAGUCAUUCUCAAUAAGUUGGUUUGACCAUUGUACCCUUUCUAUUUUGAUAAAUUACAUACUUCUCAUUGUUGUUGGUGCUCUCUCCGAUAUCUCCGACUCGUUUUCGUCGUCGCUUCCCAGUCUGAUACUUAAGCCUCGACAGCAACACCAUCGGGAUCUUCAUUUUCACAUCUGAACUUUUUUUAUCUAUUCUUCUUCUUUAAGGACGAUUGGGUUGUCUUCAUGAGCAACGAACGUGAUUAAAGAUGAACAAUGGGACUGCUUAUGUUUAUAGAAGAGAGAGAAAGGGAAAGAUAAUGAAGGGAGUGAAAAGGAGCAAGAGAAUUGAUGGAUUUUGAUGGGUUUGAACAGACUGAAAGAGAUAAUGAACGAUUUGAUAAGGUUUUGUGCUGAAGUUUGGUUCAGGGAGUGAGAUGAGAG
rnacentral:lncRNA from 1 species